rnacentral:sRNA from 1 species
UAGAGGCUGCCUUAUGCUGUCUCAUCCAGUUCCUUUGCGGUCCUCUUCUUCAGCACAUGCCAAAGCUGUUCCUCACGGCCUGUGAGACAAGAGCAUCUUGGAUAUAGGACAAUGGAAGAGUUAGAUGCCUUAUUGGAGGAACUGGAACGCUCCACUCUUCAGGACAGUGAUGAAUAUUCCAACCCAGCUCCUCUUCCCCUGGAUCAGCAUUCCAGAAAGGAGAGUAACCGUGAUGAGACUUCGGAGAUCCUUUCUGUUCAGGAUAACACAAGUCCCUUGCUGGCGCAGCUCGUGUAUACUACCAAUAUCCAGGAGCUCAAUGUCUACAGCGAAGCCCAAGAGCCGAAGAAAUCACCACCACCUUCUAAAACGUCAGCAGCUGCUCAGUUGGAUGAGCUCAUGGCUCACCUGACUGAGAUGCAGGCCAAGGUGAGUGCAGUCCAGAUGAUAAACAGGGCCCAUGCGGUCACCAGUUUAUCUUUG